rnacentral:rRNA from 1 species
AGUGAACGCUGGCGGUAGGCCUAAUACAUGCAAGUCGAGCGGCAGCACAGUAAGAUCUUUCCUUUACGGGUGGCGAGGGACGGAUGGGUGAGGAAUACAUCGCCUUCUACUAUUUCUGGGGGGACAACGUAGGGACACUGCCGCUAAUAGCUCAUACGUUCAACGGCUUAAAUCAGUAGUGCUUCGCACUUUUGCCGUCUCAUUUAGACGGAUCCGCGUCGCAUUAGCUAGUUGGUAAGGUAACGGCUUACCAAGGCGACGAUGCGUAGCCGACCUGAGAGGAUGAUCAGCCACACUGGAACUGAGACACGGUCCAGACUCCUACGGGAGGCAGCAGUAGGGAAUCUUGCACAAUGGGCGCAAGCCUGAUCCAGCAAUGCCGCGUGAGUGAUGAAGGUCUUCGGGUUGUAAAGCUCUUUUGUUGGGAAAGAAAAACAGCGUAUGAAACCACGGAUGUUCUGACGGUACCCAAAGAAAAAGCACCGGCUAACUUCGUG